UUCUGGUUCUCCGUGUUCACAGCGGACCUUGAUUUAAUGUCUUACAAUUAAGGCACGCGGUGAAUGCCAAGAGCGGAGCC
rnacentral:pre_miRNA from 1 species